rnacentral:rRNA from 1 species
CACGAACGCUGGCGGCAGGCUUAACACAUGCAAGUCGAACGCCCCGCAAGGGGAGUGGCGCACGGGUGAGUAACGCGUGGGAAUAUGCCCUUUAGUGCGGAACAACGUCGGGAAACUGACGCUAAUAACGCAUAAUGUCUCCGGACCAAAGAUUUAUCGCUAAAGGAGUAGCCCGCGUCUGAUUAGCUAGUUGGUGAGGUAACCGCUCAACAAGGCUACGAUCAGUAGCUGGUCUGAGAGGAUGAUCAGCCACACUGGGACUGAGACACGGCCCAGACUCCUACGGGAGGCAGCAGUGAGGAAUAUUGGACAAUGGAGGAAACUCUGAUCCAGCCAUGCCGCGUGAGUGAUGAAGGCCUUCGGGUUGUAAAGCUCUUUCGGGUGUGAAAAUGAUGAUGGUAACACCAGAAGAAGCCCGGCUAACUUCGUGCCAGCCGCCGCAGUAAAAC